rnacentral:misc_RNA from 1 species
CGGAUUUUCGAGUUUCCCUCGAUUUCUCUGGGAUUCCAUCAUCAGAUCCUAGUUUCCUUAUUAUGGUACCAAACUAAGGAUAUCCUCUUCCCAAAAAAAAAGAAUUAUAAAAAUCGGUACUUCUAGUAGAAAGUUAUGCGGUAUAAUACAACGUCGGUCGACGAAACAAGCGUCAAGUAAAAACGCAUUAUUAGAUAUAACUCGAAAAGUAGUUGUUAGAUCUCAAAUAAAUUUAAAUGGGACCAAUUGGCACACACCGCCUUUCGAUUAAAACAAAAUUUGUCGAAAUCGGUCUACCCGGUCAAAAGUUCUGAUGUAACAUACAUUAAAAAAAAAAAAAAAUACAGUCGAAUUGAGAACCUCCUCCUUUUUUGGAAGUCGGUUAAUAAAGCUAAA